rnacentral:lncRNA from 1 species
AAACUCAAUGUGUAAGUUAAUGAAUUUGUUGACAAUGCUGAAAUUAAUUUAUCCAGAGCAGUAUAUUGAUGAAGCCUCUACAUUCUAACGAUGUGAUGGUAUGGCCUCUACUAAGUUGACCGAACCACUUUUGCUAUUUAUUCACAAAAUUUUAAGUUUUGACUUGUUCAAGUUUACGAGUUAGGGAACUAUCAUGUUAAUGUUAGGGGCUUAUUAACUUUAAUUCAUGACUUUUAGUUCUCAAUUAGCCAGACUUCAAGAUCACAAGGAGCCACGCAUUAAGACGUUAUGUUUCCCUAAUGAAUGUGGUUUUUGAUCUUUGCUUAUAUAUUAUUGACUUUAUAGUUUCUUCUAGUUUGUUAUACAUUCACUCAUUCAUUUUUCCCUAACAAGAGAAGUCUCUACCUAAAUUCUGGCGAGAUCGACACGUAAGAUUCUCUAUUGUUUAUUUCUUUUGUUUUUUGGCAUGGCCUUCACUAAGUCGAUCGAACCACUUUUGCCGUUUAUUCACAAAAUCUUAAGUUUUGACUUGUUCAAGUUUACAAGUUAGGGAACUAUUAUGUCAAUGUUAGGGGCCUUUUAACUUUAAUUCAUGUGUAGAGGUUUGCUACUUUUAGUUCUCAAUUAGCCAGACUUCAUGAUCAUAAAAAGCUAUGCAUUAAGACAUUAUGUUUCCCUAAUGAUGUGUUUUCGAUCUAUAGGUUGCCUAUAUAUUGUUGACUAUAUAGUUUCUUCUAAUUUGUUAUGCAUUCACUCAUUAAUUUUUCCUAACAAAGGAAAUCUCUACCUAAACUUUGGCAAGAUCGACAAGAUUUUCUAUUGUUUAUUUCUUUUGUUUUCCAGCAUGGCCUUUACUAAGUUGACCGACCACUUUUGCCGUUUAUUCACAAAAUUUUAAGUUGUGACUUGCUCUGGUUUCCGAGUUAGGGAAAUAUCAUGUCAACCAUAGGGGCUUAUUAACCUUAUUUUAUGUGUAGAGGUUUGCUACUUUUAGUUCUCAAUUAGCCAGACUUCAUGAUCAUAGGGAGCUAUACAUUAACACAUUAUGUUUCCCUAACGAAUGUAGUUUUUGAUCUAUCGAUUGCCUAUAUAUAGUUGACCGUAUAUUUUCUCUUCUAGUAUGCUAUGCAUUUACUCAUUCAUUUUUCCCUAACAGAGAAAGCCUCUAUUUGAAUUUUGGUGAGAUCCACACGUAAGAUUCUCUGUUGUUUAUUUCUUUUGUUUUCCUACAUGGCCUUCACGAAGUCGAUCGAACCACUUUUGCCUUUUAUUCACAAAAUUUUAAGUUUUGAUUUGUUCGGAUUUACAAGUUAGAGAACUAUCAUGUCAAUGUUAGGAGUUUGUUAACCUUAAUUCAUGC